GGGGGAGAUGGAGCAGAAGGACAUUCAUAUGGUAUCCCCAGUGCUAGGCACUGGAGAUUAGAGUAAAUGUAGUAAAAACCAGGAUUAGAGUAAAUGUGCAACAAACACAUGUAGGAUGAAUGACACUUACUGAGUUCCUCCUAAGACUUUUCCCUAUUUUCUACCCUUUUUUCCCAAACAUGAAGCUCUCUGAGGUCGGGGAUUCUACCACAGAGUUCUGCACUGUGCCUUACUGAAACGAGUGCUGGAUUUGCAGUAAAAAUUGAAUUCGAAUUCUACCUCUACUAGGCCUUAUAAAGCUGUGAAGUACCUACUUCAGGAUGGUAGAAGACCGGCCCUGAGCUAACAUCUGCUGCCAAUCCUCCUCUUUUUGCUGAGGAAGACUGGCCCUGAGCUAACAUCCAUGCCCAUCUUCCUCUGUUUUAUAUGUGGGAUGCCUACCACAGCAUGGCUUGACAAGUGGUGCCAUGUCUGCACCUGGGAUCCAAACCGGCGAACCCCGGGCCACCAAAGUGGAACAUGUGAACUUAACUGCUGCGCCACCAGGCCAACCCCUGUCAUAUUCUUUUCACGGUACUAUGAGCCCUUGAACUGGAACUGGAACUAAUUCGUCAGCUCUCCUGGGUCUCCAACUGGCACACUGCAGAUCUUGGACUUCUCAGCCUCCAUAAUCAUGUGAGCCA
rnacentral:lncRNA from 1 species